UAUGUUGUAUGAGCUAAAAUGGAGAUGGACAGGAAAGAGAUCAGGGCUCAGAUGAUCAUCAAAUACAAUGUACUAGUAUCUGUUUAUGAAAGAAAUGAGUCCUAAAGAUAUUCAUAUGGAUACGUGUGAGACUUGGGGUGAUAUUGGCAUUGCUCCUUCCUACUCCACAGUUUUAAGGACUGGUGUGCUGAGUUUAGGCGUGGGAGGUUGAGCACCAAUGAUGCCACAAGGUCGGAGCGACCGCCUGUUGCCUGGUUGCAGCAUCGCAGGAGAAUUGUGACAAAGUCCUCGAAAUUAUAAUGAAAGAACGCAGAGUUACAACAAGAUACCUGUGUGCCCAACUGAGUGGAUAUCAGUUGUGGCUCAAUGCAAAACAUCCUGACCAGAAUUGGCCUCAACAAAGUUUCCUGCAAAUGGGUUCCAAGGAUGUUGACAAUGCAACAGCAACGCAGGAGAAAGGACACCUCAACUGAGCUUCUUGGACGAAUGCAGGCAAACCGGGAGGAUUCAAGUUUCUGAGCAGCGGUUGGCCCGCUGAGUCACUCAGGAAACAUGGGUCCAUCAUUUUGAUCCGGAAGCAAAGCAGCAAUCAAUGCAGCACCCCAGUUCACCCACACCGAAGCAAUUCAAGACACGAUCGUUGGCCGGCAAGAUCAUGGUCUCCGUAUUUUGGGCUUAGAAGGGCGUCAUCAUGCUGGACUAUCUGCGGCGGCUAGGUGCCACCAUCAAUGGUGAUGAUACUAUGCUUGUGUCAGCCUACAAUGUAGUGAACUGUGCAGUCUGAAGGAUGAGAUGAAGGCAAAAAGGCUCAGCAAACUUUCAAAGGGAAUCCUGCUUUUGCAGGACAACGCACCUGCUCAUACCUCACAGGUUGCUGUUGCUGCAGCUGGAACCUGUGGGUUCAAAAUUCUCCCACACCCACUCUAUUCCCCUGACCUGGCUCCGUCUGACUUCUUUCUCGUCCCCGAGCUGAAAGACUCUCUCCGAGGAGGGCAUUUCACAUCCAACGAUGAUGUCAUGGCAGCCGUUGACGACUUUCUCGACGACCAAGAUGUGGAGUUCUUCAGGACAGGUCUGGAGAAGCUUGAAUACCGCUCGAGCAAGUGCAUUGAGGUCAAGUGAUGUAGUUUGCGGAUGAUGCAGCCUUGUUUGCACCCAGCCACUCGGAUGCUCAGCGUAUGCUUGAGAUAUUUGCGGAGGUCGGUGGAGCAUUCGGACUGUCUCUCAACAUGACAAAGACUGUGUUCAUGGCUGUUGGGCACCAACUCAAAAACAGCGACCGUACCCCGCUAAACGUACAAGGAAACACCAUCCAGCAUGUGAGCCAAUUCACGUAUCAGGCUUGGCUCAGUUACUAUUGAUUUGAAGUAUAACACCAGACGGACUAUGCCACAUCGAUGUGUCCAACCGCAUAGCUGCUGGAUCCAAGGCCUUGGCAGCCUAUACUCGUCAAUAUUUCGGAACACACCCUUCACAUCCAAGACGAAACAACACACGUCCACAUGCUCUGUGCUGUCUGCGCUGUUGUAUGGGGCUGAGAACUGGACACUGUUGCGUGCCGACGUCGCCUUGAACAAUUCUACAACCGCUGCGUUCGUGUCAUUGUCGGCAUCUCGCGUUCCAAACAGUGGGAAGACCACCUGAACUCUGCCUCGCUGCAUAGAAUGUGCGCUACAGAGCCAGUUGCUGACAUGAUUACCUGUCGACGUCUCCAGUGGCUUGGCCACAUUGCCAGGAUGGACGACCAUCGGCUUCCAAACCGGGCAGUGUUGUUCUGGUGGCUCCAUGCUCCACGCCCUGCUCAUGGUCCCAGGCGUCGAUGGCGUGAUGUGGUACGUCAUGACCUCAACUUGCUCAAGGCGGUCGGCCUAUAGAACAGUUGGUACGACCUUGCAGGUGAACGUGGUGAGUGGAUCCAGUCCAUCUCGGAUACCAUUGUUGCACGUCGCUUGUAACUUGAUACGACAGCCAAGUCAGUAUGUUGUGCGGUCUGUGAGCCACUCUUCGCCAGUCAAAGUGGACUUCGUCGGCACAGAUGCAGGGAGGAGCGACUGAAGCCGAUCUAUGAACAGUCCGGUGCUGUGUUGUGUGAAAUAUGCCAUCGUUGGUUUGCUAGCCGAGGUGGACUUGCCGUGCACAGCUGCUCUCCCAGCCUUGGUGACUCUCCAGUUUCAGAGAUAGUUGCACCUCGCCCACCUGAUUGCAGCCAAUGUCAGUACCACUGCCACACCUGUGGCCGCUGUUUCCGGAGCAAAAUGGGGCAUCACCGAUUCACCGGCACAAUUGCAGCUGCUGAACAUGCAAGUCUGGCUCCGAGGCAGUCCGAGCGCAGCACAAUCCCAUGCCCGACCUGCUCUCGGAAGUUUUCAUUUUUGGUGUUGUGUUUUUAAAUGUUCUAAUUCUUCGCCAUGGUACCGUGCAUUGUAUUCUGUUACCAUGGUACCGUGCAUUGUAUUCUGUUUGCCGGUAAAAGAGGCUUGUGUUUGUA